UACGUAGGGCGCAAGCGUUAUCCGGAAUUAUUGGGCGUAAAGAGCUCGUAGGCGGUUUGUCGCGUCUGCUGUGAAAGACCGGGGCUCAACUCCGGUUCUGCAGUGGGUACGGGCAGACUAGAGUGAUGUAGGGGGAGACUGGAAUUCCUGGUGUAGCGGUGAAAUGCGCAGGAUAUCAGGAGGAACACCGAUGGCGAAGGCAGGUCUCUGGGCAUUAACUGACGCUGAGGAGCGAAAGCAUGGGGAGCGAACAGG
rnacentral:rRNA from 1 species